CCUAAAGACAUCAGUUGAUUCAAUCCAUCAUGCUAAAAGAUGCUAGGCAUUCAAUUUGUCCAAUGGAUUAGUGAAAAAGGAAGAAACAGCUAAGGUUAGUUAUAAAUAAAUAAAUAAAUAAAAAUGCUUAACAUUGGAUGGGAAGAUCUUCUGAUUCAGAGGAUUUGGUGGUGCUGGUCAUCUGUUGUCCAUGGUGAGGCUGGUCAAGUCAAUGAUCUGGAUUAGAUCAUGGAAUCUUGUAUGGAAUGGUUGCAUCAUGAUGCAUCAGUAGCUGGUAACUUGUCAUCUGUUUAUCCACACUAUGUUCUAUGUUGUUGUCAGUGCCUUUGGUGUCAUUUUUGUUAUGCUUAUGGCAAUAUUUACACUGUUUACAGAAUUCUAGUGUUCUAUCUCGAUAAGUAUUUCUACAACUUAUCCUGUUGUGAUUUGUAUUUAUAUAGGUUACAUCUUUUAUACCGUCCACCAUUGAUAUCUGUGACUGACACAUAUCCGUGUCUGAGUUAUGAAGCUAUUUUAAAAACUUGGGUUGAUAGUCUUUUGUUUGGGAUCAGAGAAGGUGUUGGGGACUUGGGAUUGCAAAGCACUCGAUGCAGGCACUUCAGGAAUUUUCCCUUCUUUUCAUCACAAUCCUUUUCUUCCCUUGUUGAGUUGUUCUUUUGAAUUCUAUAUAUAAUUAACAAAUUGGGUGCUGGCUGAUUAUUGAGAGUUAUACUUUCUGCAAGCACCUUUUUUUUUUAUAUAAUAUCGAAAAUUUUCUUUUGUCAAUCGCAAUAGUGCCUUUGAUGCAUUCUUUUGUUUUUAUAGAUUUUGUAUCAUCAUGGUGUAUUAUCAUGUCAGUGCAAGUAAUCCUAUGUUUAUAAUUCUUUCCAUGAAAAAAUGAACUUUGAAGGAUUCAUUUUUGGGCUGGUAGUUGAAAGUUAGUGGAAGCCUGGAGUACUGUGAUUACCUUUUUAGACCUUUUGUUUCCCAUCUUCCAUGGCUCAUUUUAAUAUCUUUUUUGGAAAAAAAAAAAAACAAUCAUGGUGGGGUUUUCUACAGGCCAGAAGAAAGACCAGGGAACCCAAGGAGGAAAAUGUCACACUCGGACCAACUGUACGAGAAGGGGAGAAUGUUUUUGGUGUAGCCCAUGUUUAUGCCUCAUUCAAUGAUACUUUCACUCAUGUGACUGACUUGUCUGGGAGAGAAACAUUGGUUCGUGUCACUGGCUCUUGAUAUGAUAAGGGGCAAAAACAUCCUAAUGUUAAUGGAUUCCCAUUUAGAGGGCAACUUCUCAACAGAAGAGGCGACUGUACUUGUUGGACUUGUUUCUUGAUGUUUGCAAUAUGAACCAAGGGAGCACACCAACCCGAAGGACAUUGUUGACACCCUCUCAUCAUUACAAACCAAAUCAGAAGUAGGCGAAAGUGAACCAUUCGUAUCUGAUCUUUUAUCUGGCUUCCCUACAACAAUUAUAGAUCUUGAGCCACGCGAGAUUCAUUCAUUUUAUGAGUCGGUGGGUCAUAUGAUUCAAGCAGAAACGGAUCCACAGAAGAGGGAUGAGUAUCUCCAGAGGUUGAUGGAACUUCCGAAUCAGAAAUGGGCAGAAAUUAUUGGACAGACACGCCAGGAGUUGAACAUUCUGAAGGAUCCAGAUGUAAUCAGAACUGUACUUACACAUAUUGCAGGUUUUAGGCAGGGAUGAAUGAGAGCUAGAUCAAUAGUGUUUCUUUUUUUCUUUUUUUUCUUUUUUUGUAUUUGGAAGUAUUCAACUUAUUAUUGUAAAUAUUAUUUUAAUAUUCAUUCCCAUGGUCGCCGCAGCUCUAGUAGAGAAGAAGAGAAGGGAAAUGACUACAACCUCAAACAAAGAAGCAAUCUCCAUCUUUUGGAUUGCACCACAGUUCCUCAUAUUUGGGUUAUUAGAUAUGUUCACAGCAAUGGGCCUCAUUGAGUUCUUCUACAAACAGUUAAUGGUUGGGAUGGAAGCCUUUCUAACAGCCAUGACCUAUUGCUCUUACUCAUUUGGGUUAUUCUUGAGCUCUCUUGGUCUCCUUGGUGAAUAAAAUCACCUCGAAAAUAUUCAACUCAUGGUGGGUGGCUAAGUGACAAUGACCAUAACAAGGACAGGCUAGAUCUUUUCUAUUGGUUGCUAGCAAUCCUAAUAUCUUAGCAUUCUCAUAUCGUACAAGACUUUAUCUCUUUAGAUAUGAGUUGGGUUUCUCUAGUCUUGGAUUUAUGUAGGAAAAAAAAAAUAAAGAAAAAAAAUUCUGCAAAUUUUGGUAUUGAAGAACUCAAUCAAAAGCUAUUUGGGAGUUGUGUUUCUCGUUUCUUUUAUUUCCAAGGACUCUAGUACAUAAAGAAAAUUCUGCAGACUCAGUGAUAGAAACCCAAUAAGAAGCUAUUUGGCAGACAACACAUCACAGACCUAAGAUUUGUUGCUAGACCAAACCUAUCCAAACAGGAGCUGUAAUCACUCAAGCAACCUUUAGCGGCACUUCAAGAUACCCUUACUGGUGCUUCAUAAAAGCGCCGGUAAAAAUCUGCAAACUGCUGAUAAAGCCUACUUUGUAGGGCGCCCAACACAAAUGCCUGCAAAGGUACGCUGACCGCUGGUAAAUCUUUUACUGACAGGGCCUUUACUGGCACUUUUCUGACCAUCGGUAAAAGCUUUUUUGGGCCUUUACCAGCGGUCCGUCCGACACAAAUGCCUACAAAGGUACGCUGACCGCCGGUAAAUAUUUUACUGACAAGGCCUUUACCGGCGGUCAAAGUUUUGUUGUAGUGACUUUAGUUUAUAAGUAGAAAUCAAGAUAAGAUGCUAAGGCAUGUGUAGCUUAUCUUAGGUAACUUUCAAUCCCAACAACCCCCUAAUUGACCUCUGUAUAGACAAUGGGAUAUCUGAUCAGUGAGAUUUAUUUAUUUAUUCCUGUGGCCAACUUACAGUGAGAUCCUCUAGAUAAAACCUCUGGAUCAUUUCUUGUUGGGGCAUAAGGUGUGAGCAGCUCCGGUAUGACCCACUUAAAGUGAGACCCUCUAGAUGAAAAGUCUGGAUCAUUGCUUUGUUGUGGGGCAUAAGGUGUGAGUAGCUCUAGCAUAGCCCACUUACACUGAGGCCGAUAAGAAGUCUGGAUCAUUGCUUGGUGGGGCAGAAGGUGUUAGUAGCUCCAGUAUGGCGUGCUUACAGUGAGACCCUCUAGAUGAAAAGUCUGGAUCAUAGCUUGGUGGAGAUUAAGGUGUGAGCAGCUCC